rnacentral:rRNA from 1 species
CCUACGGGUGGCAGCAGUGAGGAAUAUUGGUCCAUGGACGGAAGUCUGAACCAGCCAUGCCGCGUGCAGGAAGACGGCUCUAUGAGUUGUAAACUGCUUUUGUACAAGGGUAAACCUUACUACUUGUAUUCAGCUGCAAGUACUGUACGCAUAAGGAUCGGCUAACUCCGUGCCAGCAGCCGCGGUAAUACGGAGGUUCCAAGCGUUAUCCGGAUUUAUUGGGUUUAAAGGGUGCGUAGGCGGAUUGAUAAGUUAGAGGGGAAAUUCCCGAGCUUAACUCGGGAACUGCAUGUAAUACUGUUGAUCUAGAGAGUAGAUGAGGUAGGCGGAAUGGAUGGUGUAGCGGUGAAAUGCUUAGAUAUCA